GGCUUGAUAGCACAAUUGGUAGUGUGCCUGCGAUAAAUGAUUACUCUUCGAGUUGCCAGUAGAAGAUCCCUGUUCGAUUCGGGGUCAGGUCA